GAUGAACGCUGGCGGCGUGCCUAAUACAUGCAAGUCGAGCGAACAGAUGAGAAGCUUGCUUCUCUGAUGUUAGCGGCGGACGGGUGAGUAACACGUGGGUAACCUACCUAUAAGACUGGGAUAACUCCGGGAAACCGGGGCUAAUACCGGAUAAUAUUUUGAACCGCAUGGUUCAAUAGUGAAAGACGGUUUCGGCUGUCACUUAUAGAUGGGCCCGCGCCGUAUUAGCUAGUUGGUAAGGUAACGGCUUACCAAGGCGACGAUACGUAGCCGACCUGAGAGGGUGAUCGGCCACACUGGAACUGAGACACGGUCCAGACUCCUACGGGAGGCAGCAGUAGGGAAUCUUCCGCAAUGGGCGAAAGCCUGACGGAGCAACGCCGCGUGAGUGAUGAAGGUCUUCGGAUCGUAAAACUCUGUUGUUAGGGGAGAACAAAUUUGUUAGUAACUGAACAAGUCUUGACGGUACCUAACCAGAAAGCCACGGCUAACUACGUGCCAGCCGCCGCUGUAA
rnacentral:rRNA from 1 species